AACGAACGCUGGCGGCAUGCCUAACACAUGCAAGUCGAACGUGAUCCAUGACUUCGGUUGUGGUGAAAGUGGCAAACGGGUGAGUAACGCGUGGGAACCUGCCCAGAGGUAGGGAAUAACUGCGGGAAACUGCGGCUAAUACCCUAUGUGUCCUGAGGGACAAAGAUUUAUCGCCUUUGGAGGGGCCCGCGUCGGAUUAGGUAGUUGGUGGGGUAACGGCCUACCAAGCCAUCGAUCCGUAGCUGGUCUGAGAGGAUGAUCAGCCACACU
rnacentral:rRNA from 1 species